CCAGAUGUAAAGUUUUGUUUUUCCGUUGCUGCAGGGGGGAGACUGUCUCUUUAAUGAGAUGUCACACCACCAGUCCAGUCUUUAUACACGUCAUGUGCCGAUGCACACACAAACACACGCAUUCCUUUAGGCUUCACAUUGCACAGUUCAGCAGCAUAAACACACAUUUACGCUGCAGACACACAACAAAUAUCACUGUCUUCCUCCGGCGUGAGCAAUAACCAGAGAGAGAGAGAGAGAGGGAGCAGCAGACAGAGAGACUCUGGAGACAAGGAGUGCUGUCCCGGUGUGACCCAGCUGGAUGGCAGCAGAGCUCAGCUGCUAUCAGGGAAUGAAAACAAGGAGUGUCAGUCCUCAUGUGACUGAUUACAUGUGAAGGGAAAGAAAAUCUCUGUGUGACGUGGAAAGACACCCGAAGCUUUAAGUUACACUUCGACUUGCUGCUUGAAGUGAAUUGUACGAUUUAAUCAAACCAAGAACAAAAGACGGCGGAAGAUGGCCACUGCACAUCAAGUGUUUGACAAAUUCACUAAAACUUUAGAAAGUAAUGUUACUAGUAAUUUAUGGCAUUUAGUAUUUACCGAUAAUUACUGCAGUUGUGUCACUAGUAAAUGAUUACCUAACGGCACCUUGCGAUAGUGUUCACACUCUUGGACCCUUUUCAAAAGUCAUUUCGGGAAUAGUUAGUUAAAUAUAUAUUUAUGAUUUGAUCUAAUACAAUGCAACUGUCUGAUGGAGGCUUAGCCUCUUAGUAUAAGGCUCCAUUACAGUCUCUGGUCUUUUGCAGCUUUUUACAGAUUUUCUGUCCCGGUUUGCCCAAUUUAAAGCUUAAUCCGCCUUCCGGGUCUCAGUUUAAAAGAAAGCACCCAAGCUGAAUAAUGCUGCCACCGCCGUGCUUCACCAUAAAGAUGGUGUGUUCAAGGUGCUAGCCUUCUGUCAUGCAAAACCUUCUGCGUGUGUGUCCCGAAUGCACAUCACAUGUUGGAGCAACAUUGGUUUUGAAAACUUUCUGCUGUAUCAGAUACUUCCCAAUAAAUCAUUAAAAAAAUAACUUAAAAUAUUCACAGCCUGUAAUAAUUAGUUUUGUCUGUCAAGACAGUAAACAGACCUCACUGUGGAUGAUGAAGACUUCUGCAAGCAUUUCUCCUUUUGCUUUUCAGACUCUUGUCUCUGUGAGGCUGAAGGGGAGCCUGUGGAUGAGCGUCUCUUUGAGGGUUGUUAGGCUCUGCAGACACUGGGGGGAGUGCCAGGCUGCUGUCUUUUAACGAGUUCAAGUCAGACAUCCAGACUGGAAAGGGCUUUAUUCUUUGCUUUGAAUUGUUCCUUCAAGGUUGAUUUUGCGGUCAGGCAAUUUUAAUCUGAAAAAAAAAAAAAAAAAAAAAGAUGUCUGCCUGACUAGUAAGAUUGUUGAUCAAAGAAGGCAUUUAGAAACCGUUGUUCUCACUUUUUUGUAAGAAAGAAAAAAACAAACAUUUGUUGUUAAUUGAUACUCAUUCUAGAAUUUGCUUUUCUCAGAAGUGAGGUGUUCAGUUCAACACUUUGCAUAACUGCUGACAUCUCAUAAUCAGGUUUUUGUGAAGGGAACUCACUUCAUAGCAAGCGCUUGUUUGCACAUCAAACACGGAAAAACAACCUCCAUUCGACGGCAAAUGUGCAGAUUUCUGUUUUUGGUCAGUGUGAACACAAAACAAAAGCAACCAACUUCAUGCUGGUGCAAUCUGGACUAAAUUCUUGGAAUCUCUCUUCACAACAAACCCAAACAUGUGACCUGUCGGUCAUCUAGCUAGCUCUUUUGCCAAUAAGGGCUCACACCUAUUCUAAGUGUCUCCAGGAUGCAAAAGUGUUUUGAUUCAGGUGCAAAAAUCAGGCAGCUUCCAGCGACUUCAGCUUUAAACUUGGGAUUAACCUCAGAUACUCCAUGAGUCCUGAUGAUAUAAUGUUGUUGGUAGUUAUUGGAGAACAGAGACCAGGCGAUCUGCUUCAGGAAAAGUCUGUUGACUGCGAUGAUAUCAGUAGCAGGAUAGUAAACGUGGUAAGUGUGGGGCUGCUAUUCUGUAAACCUCCGGACCUGAAACCAAGUACAGUGGAUUGUGUCAUGAUUUGACUGUCUUCUAUGACAGUUUCAUAAGAGUGAAAAUGAAGAAUAAGAUAAAUAUAUGUCUUUUUUUAUUUUCAGCAGCGAAAACACACAAAAUGAACGUUCUAAUUGCAUUGUAGUCGAGAUUUGGCAGCAAUAGAGUUUGAGAGCUACAUCGUGGGGUGUUGGCACAUGGCCUGCUCUUACAAAAGAAAGAAUGCAUGUGUGAACAUAUUCAUUGCCUCGCCUUUUUCUUAAAAAAAAA